rnacentral:miRNA from 1 species
UUUGUUGGCUCCUCUGAAGUGA